UAUAAAUUUAUUUUAAAAAUAACAAGCCUUUGUAAAUGUCCUAGAGAAAUAUAGUAGCUUUCUGUUCACCCUUUGUAAGUAAAAAGGGUGGAUCGUUCCACUACUGACAUUU
rnacentral:snoRNA from 1 species